rnacentral:lncRNA from 1 species
GGGAUAGCAUGGUGCAAAGGAGAGAGAGGGACAGCAUGGUGCAAAGGAGAGAGAGAGGGGGGACAGCAUGGUGCAAAGGAGAGAAGAGAGAGGGGACAGCAUGGUGCAAAGGAGAGAGAGAGGGAGAGCAUGGUGUAAAGGAGAGAGAGAGAGGGGACAGCAUGUUGUAAAGGAGAGAGAGGGGACAGCAUGGUGCAAAGGAGAGAGGGAGGGAGAGCAUGGUGUAAAGGAGAGAGAGAGAGAGGGGACAGCAUGGUGCAAAGGAGAGAGAGAGGGGACAGCAUGAUGCAAAGGAGAGAAGAGAGGGGACAGCAUGGUGCAAAAGAGAGAGAGAGAGGGGACAGCCUUGGAGAACAAGAUGCAGAAUGUGGAUUCCCUUCAGAGGCGACCAGGCCCCUAAAGAAGGGGUACCAGGCAGGAGGAGGUAGUAGUUGUUAACCAAAAUGAGUGGCUGAGGCA